rnacentral:rRNA from 1 species
CAGCCGCCGCGGGAAUACGUAGGUGGCAAGCGUUAUCCGGAAUUAUUGGGCGUAAAGCGCGCGUAGGCGGUUUCUUAAGUCUGAUGUGAAAGCCCACGGCUCAACCGUGGAGGGUCAUUGGAAACUGGGAAACUUGAGUGCAGAAGAGGAAAGUGGAAUUCCAUGUGUAGCGGUGAAAUGCGCAGAGAUAUGGAGGAACACCAGUGGCGAAGGCGACUUUCUGGUCUGUAACUGACGCUGAUGUGCGAAAGCGUGGGGAUCAAACAGGAUUAGAUACCCCUGUAGUCCCUGUCUCUUAUAU